CAACUGGGCCUGGUACUAGUUGUCUGCGCAUGCGUCAGUCGUUCGUCAGAUUCUGACAAAUGGAUAUUCUCGUUCACUUUCGUGACAUUUAUAUUCGUGUACUAUCGUGUACUAGAAGUCAGUUCCCGUUUUAUCAUUAUUGGAAUCGAUUGGAAUGGCUCUUAGCUGAAGCUUCUCUCUUCUCUGAAGCUUAUUCUGAAGACUGAACAACAAGGGAAGAGGUAUAAAGCUUUGUCAAGCUUAUUAAGGAGCAAUGGCUAAUAUCCAGCUAUCCCAACAGUGCUCCUCUUGGCUAUACUAACGGACGAGACUGGACAGUUUGAGACACAGGACUGGAGUAUGACCUGCUCAUUCGAGCGUUGCUGGGUAGCUCAGAGACAUCAAGAGAAUCUACGUUUUCUCAAGCAAUGAGUUACGAGUUGGGGCCUAGAAUCAGAGAAGUCCAGCAGCCUGCUAAAUCUUUUUGAAACGUAAUUUGAAGGCAUUCAAUCAUCCUGAAGUUUCCCUGGGUCACUGUAAUUGUGCUGCAGCACAACUGGCAACUCCCCAGGCCUUUGUGAAGCAGCUCCCUAUGUGCAUCUUUUGUGUACUCACUCUGUGCAUUUUCUGUGUACAAAUUUCCAUUAUUGAUUUAUUAAAUAUUUUUGCCGACCACAAA